UGAAAUCUUCGGGGCAGGGUGAGAUUCCCUACCGGCGGUACAGCCCGCGAGCCGACAGGCAUGAUCCGGUGAGAUUCCGGAGCCGACAGUAUAGUCUGGAUGAGAGAAGAUCGAC
rfam:Eubacterium sp. 68-3-10 unitig_0:quiver, whole genome shotgun sequence.